rnacentral:rRNA from 1 species
GACGAACGCUGGCGGCGUGCCUAACACAUGCAAGUCGAACGGAACUGUUUUGCAAGUUUUCUUCGGACUGAAGUUGAUUUAGUUUAGUGGCGGACGGGUGCGUAACCCGUGCGUAACCUGCCCUCCAGAGGGCAAUAACAUACAGAAAAGAGUGCUAAUACCUCAUGACAUAUCGGAACCACAUGGUUUUGAUAUCAAAUAUUUUAUCGCUUGAAGAUGGACUCGCGUCCGAUUAGUUAGUUGGGGAGGUAACGGCUCACCCAGACCGCGAUCGGUAGCCGGACUGAGAGGCUGACCGCCCACAGUGUGACAGAGACACGGCACACACUCGGGCGGGAGGAAGGAGGGAGGGUUAUUACGCGAUGGAAGCAACCCUGACGAAGCAACGCCGCGUGAUGAAGGAAGGUUUGCUGAUAGUAACCUUCUCCUAUGAAGGAGGAAAAGUGACGGUACUUAAUGAAUAAGCACCGGCUAACUACGUG